rnacentral:rRNA from 1 species
GUAGCACAGGGGAGCUUGCUCCCCGGGUGACGAGCGGCGGACGGUUGAGUAAUGUCUGGGAAACUGCCUGAUGGAGGGGGAUAACUACUGGAAACGGUAGCUAAUACCGCAUAACGUCGCAAGACCAAAGAGGGGGACCUUCGGGCCUCUUGCCAUCAGAUGUGCCCAGAUGGGAUUAGCUAGUAGGUGGGGUAAUGGCUCACCUAGGCGACGAUCCCUAGCUGGUCUGAGAGGAUGACCAGCCACACUGGAACUGAGACACGGUCCAGACUCCUACGGGAGGCAGCAGUGGGGAAUAUUGCACAAUGGGCGCAAGCCUGAUGCAGCCAUGCCGCGUGUGUGAAGAAGGCCUUCGGGUUGUAAAGCACUUUCAGCGAGGAGGAAGGUGGUGAGCUUAAUACGUUCAUCAUUGACGUUACUCGCA